rnacentral:rRNA from 1 species
AUUGAACGCUGGCGGCAGGCCUAACACAUGCAAGUCGAACGAACUCUUCGGAGUUAGUGGCGGACGGGUGAGUAACACGUGGGAACGUGCCCUUUGGUACGGAAUAACUCAGGGAAACUUGAGCUAAUACCGUAUGUGCCCUUCGGGGGAAAGAUUUAUCGCCAUUGGAGCGGCCCGCGUCUGAUUAGCUAGUUGGUGAGGUAAAGGCUCACCAAGGCGACGAUCAGUAGCUGGUCUGAGAGGAUGAUCAGCCACAUUGGGACUGAGACACGGCCCAAACUCCUACGGGAGGCAGCAGUGGGGAAUCUUGCGCAAUGGGCGAAAGCCUGACGCAGCCAUGCCGCGUGAAUGAUGAAGGUCUUAGGAUUGUAAAAUUCUUUCACCGGGGACGAUAAUGACGGUACCCGGAGAAGAAGCCCCGGCUAACUUCGUGCCAGCCGCCGCGGUAA